rnacentral:rRNA from 1 species
AUUGAACGCUGGCGGCAGGCUUAACACAUGCAAGUCGAGCGGGGGAAGGUAGCUUGCUACCGGACCUAGCGACGGACGGGUGAGUAAUGCUUAGGAAUCUGCCUAUUAGUGGGGGACAACAUCUCGAAAGGGAUGCUAAUACCGCAUACGUCCUACGAGAGAAAGCAGGGGAUCUUCGGACCUUGCGCUAAUAGAUGAGCCUAAGUCGGAUUAGCUAGUUGGUGGGGUAAAGGCCUACCAAGGCGACGAUCUGUAGCGGGUCUGAGAGGAUGAUCCGCCACACUGGGACUGAGACACGGCCCAGACUCCUACGGGAUGCAGCAGUGGGGAAUAUUGGACAAUGGGGGGAACCCUGAUCCAGCCAUGCCGCGUGUGUGAAGAAGGCCUUAUGGUUGUAAAGCACUUUAAGCGAGGAGGAGGCUACUCUAGUUAAUACCUAGGGAUAGUGGACGUUACUCGCAGAAUAAGCACCGGCUAACUCUGUGCCAGCCGCCGCUGUAA